CAAGUCGAGCGGAAGGCCCUUCGGGGUACUCGAGCGGCGAACGGGUGAGUAACACGUGAGUAACCUGCCCCUGACUCUGGGAUAAGCCCGGGAAACUGGGUCUAAUACCGGAUACGACACGCUUCCGCAUGGGAUGCGUGUGGAAAGUCUUUUCGGUUGGGGAUGGACUCGCGGCCUAUCAGCUUGUUGGUGGGGUAACGGCCUACCAAGGCGACGACGGGUAGCCGGCCUGAGAGGGCGACCGGCCACACUGGGACUGAGACACGGCCCAGACUCCUACGGGAGGCAGCAGUGGGGAAUAUUGCGCAAUGGGCGGAAGCCUGACGCAGCGACGCCGCGUGGGGGAUGACGGCCUUCGGGUUGUAAACCUCUUUCAGCAGGGACGAAGUUGACGUGUACCUGCAGAAGAAGCGCCGGCUAACUACGUGCCAGCAGCCGCGGUAAUACGUAGGGCGCAAGCGUUGUCCGGAAUUAUUGGGCGUAAAGAGCUCGUAGGUGGCUUGUCGCGUCGGAUGUGAAAGCUUGGGGCUUAACUCCAGGUCUGCAUUCGAUACGGGCUGGCUAGAGGUAGGCAGGGGAGAACGGAAUUCCUGGUGUAGCGGUGAAAUGCGCAGAUAUCAGAGGAACACCGGUGGCGAAAGCGGUUCUCUGGGCCUUACCUGACGCUGAGGAGCGAAAGCGUGGGGAGCGAACAGGAUUAGAUACCCUGGUAGUCCACGCCGUAAACGUUGGGCGCUAGUGUGGGGGGCCCUUCCACGGGUUUCCGCGCCGUAGCUAAC
rnacentral:rRNA from 1 species